GCGGACGUCCGCACUUGGCUAAAGUGCGGACGGCGACGCAACGGCGGCGUUCCAGGCUGUGACGGCGGCUCGGGGCUUGGCGGACGGAGGCCGGAGGCUUGGUGGACGGUUCUGGGCAGCGUUCGAGGUUGGAGGAGGUCGGAGUUGCAGGUUUCUGGCCAAGGCUGCAACCACGUCGCCGGCGACUCCAUCGACUGCAGACCCGUCCGUCUGACCCGUGGCGUCCGUCCGGCAAGCUCCGCCGCUCCGUCGCACCCCGAGCCGAGCUGCAGCAGCGCCGUCCGCACUUUAACGAAAGUGCGUACGUCCUCUUUCGAACGCG
rnacentral:lncRNA from 1 species